rnacentral:snRNA from 1 species
AGACUUAUUUUUAUGCUACUUGGUCUCUAAUUUAUAACGAUACAAAGAAGAUUAGUAUGGCCGCUGCACUAGGAUGACACCCACAAAUCGAGAAAUGGUUCCCUAGAAC